rnacentral:tRNA from 1 species
ACAGGUAUGAUGAAAUUGGUAAACAUAUUAGAUUUAGAUUCUAAAUUACAGUAAUGUUAGUGUGGGUUCGAAUCCCUCUACCUGUA